UUUUAUUUAUCAGAGCAAGCGAGUUGAGAUGCCUGCAGGAUAACUGGUCCUGGCUUGAGAAACACAAAUGAGGAAAGGGAGAGAAGAGACCGUUCUGAUCCUGUUUUGAAAUGACUUUUUCCAUUUCACUCUUAGAGCAUCAAGGCACAGCCUGCUAUGGGCCACUCAUCAGAGGACAGAAAGACCAACCUGCCAUCCUGGCACAGCUUGAGAACAGUGAGCUCCUGUGCAUGCCUCAAAAUGCCAGUUAAACUGAAAUCUUCAUGUUCUCCAGAUGCAGCCCUUUGAGAGUCACAUAAGAAAUAUUUCCUGAAACCAAGAGGUGCCUGGCAUGAGGUGAAGUCUUCAAUUAUCUCAUCUAAUUUGAACGUGAAACAAUUCUGAAAGGUUACAAUCGCUCCAAACUAUCUCCUUGGACCCACCAGGGGUGAGGAUGGAUGCUCCCACCUGGCCUGCUGCGGUACACUGACUCUAACCUCAGAGAUCACCAGUCAGAGAAUGCUGGCUAUUUGUCUUCCAAGAGGAAGGAGGAUGAGUAUUCACUUGGAUUUCUUCUUAAAUACUGAAGCUGAAUGUGAAGAACCAAUUCCAGGGCUAAAAUUGGUCUCUGGGAAGAGGAAGUGCUGUUUCUGCCAUGGCCAUCCCAAGUCCAUUACGCAUGCCAGAGCAACAACAAUAUUCAUUACCAACCUGCCUCCCCACAAACUAAAGGAACUACAUGAUCACACCUGCAACACAUCCUUCUCAUUCCUGAGAAGGGCUAGGUGAUGCAGAUGGAAGUGGAAUUCCACAGCAUCACUUCCUUUGUAGACCAUUAAAAUGCAACAGAUGCCAUUCUCACUGAAAUGUUUGUGGAAAAGUUCAAGCAGUUUUCAAAGUAUUGAUAUGGACCAGUGACAUCAAUACCAUCCAAGAACUUGCUGGAAUGAAAAGUGGGGGAACCUCUCUUCCAACGUAGAGUCAGAAACUCUAUGCAUGGGACCAAAAAAUCUUCAUAACAAGUCUAAGAUGACUGAGAUGUGCUCCCAGCUGAGAAGGACCUCACAGCGCGGAACCGCCUUCUGUCUGACUCUUAUAAUUUUUUUGAAAGACAAUGGAUGUCAAUAACACUUAGAAACCACCACCCCAUUGCCAACUUUGUAU
rnacentral:lncRNA from 1 species